AACGAACGCUGGCGGCAGGCUUAACACAUGCAAGUCGAGCGCCCCGCAAGGGGAGCGGCAGACGGGUGAGUAACGCGUGGGAAUCUACCCAUCUCUACGGAAUAACGCAUGGAAACGUGUGCUAAUACCGUAUACGUCCUUCGGGAGAAAGAUUUAUCGGAGAUGGAUGAGCCCGCGUUGGAUUAGCUAGUUGGUGGGGUAAAGGCCUACCAAGGCGACGAUCCAUAGCUGGUCUGAGAGGAUGAUCAGCCACACUGGGACUGAGACACGGCCCAGACUCCUACGGGAGGCAGCAGUGGGGAAUAUUGGACAAUGGGCGCAAGCCUGAUCCAGCCAUGCCGCGUGAGUGAUGAAGGCCCUAGGGUUGUAAAGCUAAUUCACCGGUGAAGAUAAUGACGGUAACCGGAGAAGAAGCCCCGGCUAAAGUCGUGCCAGCAGCCGCAGUAAAAC
rnacentral:rRNA from 1 species